GUUCUGGGCCGCACGCGCGCUACACUGAUGUAUUCAACGAGUAUAUAGCCUUGGCCGACAGGCCCGGGUAAUCUUGGGAAAUUUCAUCGUGAUGGGGAUAGAUCAUUGCAAUUGUGAGUCUUCAACGAGGAAUGCCUAGUAAGCGCGAGUCAGAGUCAUCAGCUCAUCAGCUCGCAGCUCGCGUUGCUCGCGUUGACUUACGUCCCUGCC
rnacentral:ncRNA from 1 species